AGGGUGUGGCUCAGUGGUAGAGCAUGUGUUUAGCAUGCACAAGGCCCUGGGUUCCAUCCCCAGCCCUA
rnacentral:tRNA from 1 species